AAUUUUGGACAAUGGGGGAAACCCUGAUCCAGCCAUCCCGCGUGUAUGAUGAAGGCCUUCGGGUUGUAAAGUACUUUUGGCAGAGAAGAAAAGGUAUCCCCUAAUACGGGAUACUGCUGACGGUAUCUGCAGAAUAAGCACCGGCUAACUACGUGCCAGCAGCCGCGGUAAUACGUAGGGUGCAAGCGUUAAACGGAAUUACUGGGCGGUAAGCGUGUGUAGGGCGUUCGGAAAGAAAGGUGUGAAAUCCCAAGGCCUAAACCUGGAAAUGGAUUUUUAAAUGGCGAGGUAGAGGAAGGCAGAGGGGGGUAGAAAUCCACGUGUAGCCGGGAAAUGGGUAAAUAAGUUGGGGGAUAACGAAUGCGAAGGCAGCCCCCCGGGAAAAAAAUGACGCUCAAAAACGAAAGGCGGGGGAGCAAACAGG
rnacentral:rRNA from 1 species